rnacentral:tRNA from 1 species
GCAUGGUAUAGUGGUUUGAGUGUUGGACUACAAAUCUGAAGACCAGGGUUCGAUUCCCAGCUCAACCA